ACAUUAUCAUUUUAUGUAAUUAUGUUUUUCUUUUUUCAAAAAGGAAAUGUAUUGUUGAGGGUGUUAGCUAGUGAAGUAAAUAAAGUGUUUUUGAGGUUAGCAUCAAGGUUUUGGGUUCAAGUUAGAGCGUGACCCAGAUUUUAGUUGAGAUUUCUGAUGUCCUGGUUCUUAAAACAAAAGAGAAGAUGUAUUGCAUGAAAUGAUAUAUGCUUUGCUCAUAUUCAAACUGAUUUUCUUCCCAUUCUCCAUA
rnacentral:lncRNA from 1 species